rnacentral:rRNA from 1 species
UACGUAGGUGGCAAGCGUUACUCGGAAUUACUAGGCGUAAAGAGCAGGUAGGCGGUUGGAUAAGUUUCUUGUGAAAGCUCCCGGCUUAACUGGGAGAGGUCAAGGAAUACUGUCUGACUUGAGUGCGGUAGGGGAAGUUGGAAUUCCCGGUGUAGCGGUGAAAUGCGUAGAUAUCGGGAGGAAUACCAAUGGCGAAGGCAAACUUCUGGGCCGUCACUGACGCUGAGCUGCGAAAGCUAGGGGAGCAAAC